UCUCUCUCGCUUUCUCUCUCUCUCUCCGCGCUCGCGUGGGGCCAGCACUUUGCAGCAGCCUCGGCGGCGGAGAGAUAGAGAGAGAGAAUCAGGGAGGGGGCAGAGAGAGAGAGAGAAGGGAGGGGGAUUUAGAGAGAGAGAGGGAGAGAAAGGCAACCUCUGCAGGAUGGAGCCAGGCGCCGGCUGCCCGGGAACUUCCCUUUGAAAGAGGGAGAAGAAGAACCGAGGCUGCUUCUAAGGCUACUCAUCCGCUGCCUCCUUCGGCCGAGAGGGCGAUGAGAGCCGCAGCCAAACUUUGCCCGCUGGCUCCCGGAGGAUGAGGGUGCGGAUGCGGAAGAAGCGGAUCGGGAUGCGGAGAUCGGCAUGAAUGAAUGCGGCGGCGUCGCUGCAAAAUCAACAGGCGCCCAGAAGAGGAGGGGAGGAGGAGGCUCCGGGGCACCCAGCCGUGAGCGAUGGAUGAUACUCCCUGCCGCCUGCUGUUGCUGCUGCUCGCUCUCUGGUGGACUCCUCCGUCGGGCGCCCUCAUCAACCUCAAGUAUGCGGUGGAGGAGGAGCAGCGGGCCGGCACCGUGGUGGCCAACAUCGCCAAAGAUGCCCGGGACGCCGGUUUCAUACUGGACCCCCGCCAGCCGGCCGCCUUCCGGGUGGUCUCCAACUCGGCCCCACACCUGGUGGACAUCAACCCGGGCUCGGGCCUGCUGGUGACCAAGCAGAAGAUCGACCGGGACCUGCUCUGCCGGCAGAGCCCCAAGUGCGUCAUCUCCUUGGAGGUCAUGUCCAGCUCCAUGGAGAUCUGCGUGGUCAAGCUGGAGAUCAAGGACCUCAACGACAACGCGCCCAGCUUCCCCACUGACCAGAUUGCCCUGGAGAUCUCCGAGACGGCCAGUCCGGGGACGCGGGUGCCGCUGGAGAGUGCCUACGACCCGGACUCGGGCAGCUUCGGGGUGCAGAGCUACGAGAUCACACCCAACGACCUCUUUGGGCUGGAGACCAAGACGCGGGGCGAUGGCUCUCGCUUUGCUGAGCUGGUGGUGGAGAAGAGCCUGGACCGCGAGACCCAGUCGCACUACAGUUACAUGAUCACGGCUCUGGAUGGGGGAGACCCGCCCAACUUUGGCACCGUGGAGUUGAACAUCAGGGUCAUCGACUCCAAUGACAACAACCCCCUCUUCGAAGAGCCAUCCUACACCGUCAGUGUGCCCGAGAACUCUCCUUCUGGCACGCCGGUGAUCAGACUCAAUGCCACAGACCCCGAUGAGGGCACCAAUGGGCAAGUGCUGUACUCCAUCCACAGCUACGUGUCUGAAAAGGCCAGGGACCUCUUCCAAAUUAAUCCCCAAACCGGGCUGAUCACGGUCAUUGGUGCCAUUGACUAUGAGGAGGGCCAUGCCUACGAACUGGAUGUGCAGGCCAAGGAUCUGGGCCCUAAUUCUAUUCCCGCCCACUGCAAAGUGACAGUCAGCGUCCAAGAUGCCAAUGACAACCCUCCUCUCAUUAACUUGCUCUCUGUGAACAGCGAGUUGGUGGAGGUCAGUGAAAACGCCCCUCCGGGUUAUGUGAUCGCCCUGGUGAGGGUUUCUGACCGCGAUUCUGGUGCAAAUGGCCGAGUACAAUGCAAGCUGCUGGGCAGUGUGCCUUUCCGCCUGCAAGAAUACGAAAGCUUCUCCACCAUCUUGGUGGAUGGACGGCUGGACAGGGAGCAAAGGGACCAGUACAACCUCACCAUCCAGGCUAAAGACAAUGGGAUCCCCUCUUUGCAAGCGACCAAGUCCUUCACCGUGAAGAUCACGGAUGAAAACGACAACCAUCCUCAUUUCUCGAAACCGUACUACCAGGUCAUUGUGCAAGAGAAUAACACCCCUGGGGCCUACCUCCUCUCUGUUUCUGCCAGGGACCCCGAUCUAGGCCUUAAUGGCAGUGUCUCCUAUCAGAUUGUGCCCUCCCAAGUCCGAGACAUGCCUGUCUUUACUUACGUCUCUAUCAACCCCAACUCGGGAGACAUCUACGCCUUGAGGUCCUUCAACCACGAGCAAACCAAGUCCUUUGAGUUCAAAGUCUUGGCCAAAGACGGAGGCAACCCUUCCUUGCAAAGCAACGCCACCAUCCGAGUCAUUGUCUUGGACGUCAACGACAACACCCCUGUGAUAACCGCCCCUCCGCUGGUCAACGGGACCGCAGAAGUCUACAUCCCCAGGAACGCCGGGGUUGGCUACUUGGUGACUGUGGUCAAGGCGGACGAUUACGACGAAGGAGAGAACGGGAGACUUUCCUAUGAGAUGGCGGAGGGAGACCGAGGGUUUUUUGAGAUUGACCAGGUGAACGGUGAGAUAAGGACCACCAGAGCCUUUGGGGAGAAUUCAAAGACUACCUACGAGUUGAUUGUGGUGGCUCAUGACCAUGGGAAAACUUCUCUCUCUGCUUCUGCCUUGAUUUUGAUAUACCUUUCUCCAUCUCUGGACGCCCAGGAAUCCAUAGGAUCUGUUAACCUGUCCCUGAUUUUUAUUAUCGCCCUGGGUUCUAUCGCCGCCAUCCUGUUUGUCACCAUGAUCUUCGUCGCCGUGAAGUGUAAGCGGGACAACAAAGAAAUCAGGACCUACAACUGCAGAAUUGCAGAGUACUCCUACGGGCAUCAAAAGAAAUCCAACAAGAAGAAAAAGAUCAGCAAGAACGACAUCCGCCUCGUGCCGCGCGAUGUAGAGGAGACCGAUAAAAUGAACGUUGUGAGCUGUUCCUCCCUGACCUCCUCCCUCAAUUACUUUGACUAUCACCAACAGACGUUGCCUCUGGGUUGCCGCCGGUCGGAAAGCACCUUUCUCAAUGUGGAGAACCAAAACAAUCGGAACACGGGGUCCAACCACGUCUACCACCACACCUUCACGGGCCAGAGUCCUCAGCAGCCGGAUCUCAUCAUCAACGGGAUGCCACUUCCAGAGACGGAAAACUACUCGUUCGAUUCCAACUAUGUCAACAGCAGAGCCCAUUUAAUAAAAAGCAGUUCGACAUUCAAAGACUUGGAGGGGAACAGCCUGAAGGACAGCGGGCACGAAGAGAGUGACCAGACGGACAGCGAACACGACGUCCAGCGUGGCCUCUACUGUGACACGGCCGUGAAUGAUGUCUUGAACACCAGCGUCACCUCCAUGGGCUCUCAGGUGCCUGAACAAGGUGCCUCUCCGCUUGGUGUUUCCACUUAGCUUGGAUGUUUCAAUUUUUUGGAUGUUUAGUUCAACUCCUCUCGCUCGAGUCCUCUCUGGCAUCUCUCCCCCUCGGAGGGAAGGCUUUCAAUGAGUGUUGCUCAGCUAUUUCCUUAAAUACAUCGUCUUCUUUUCUCUUUCCCUCAAUCUCGAGAUGCUCCCACUGCUUUUCAUUUGAUCAGGUGCUGAGGGGAAGUUUCAGCUACAGUGUAAUUCUCUAGACCUUCUUUAACCUUCUGGAAAAUAGGAUAUUUACUCUUUCCUACUCAUCUUUCCUCCGCAAACUCUCAAAAGUAAUUGCAAAUGCUGCUUUUUUACCACCUCUGCUAGUUCACCUGAAGACUCCAGGGCGAAUUUCAUUGGGCUCUGCUGAUAUGAAUAUAUUCCAUUGAUCUAGAUGUAGGUAUUACUUCUUCCUUCUGUGGUUUCAUUACUUGGAACUGCAUUACGCAUCGCAUCCUUCCUGCCUCUCAUUCUGCUAAGUAAUUCUUUCUUGCAUCUCCCUUCACGUUGGCUAUUUUCUGCUAGAAAUGAUGUUCUCCCUUUGCGGAUUGCGCUGGGCCUGGAUGAAGAACAAUAUGGUUAAAUUAGGAGGCCAAACGAUCAGUGUUCCAGUGAAUGUUCACAUCGAAAGGCACCGUGGAGUUUGGCAUCGAUGGAAGAACACACAUUGAAUUAGUUUGAAGGUAAUCGUGAAAAAGGACUCUCUUUCCCUUCUCUUAUUGCUUUUGCGGAUCAAAAUAGAGCAAAUAAGCACCUGUCACUUCAGCAGCAAUCGUUCAAGAAAGAUCUGCUUUGAUGAAAUAUAGAUAAAUGACAGUUCUCCCAAAGUUGCUGCAAAGUUGCCGGGCUGUGGCGCAGGCUGUUGAGCAACCAGCUGCAACAAAUCACUCUGACCAAGAGGUCAUGAGUUCGAGGCCAGCUCGGAGCCCCGUGUUUGUCUUGUCUUUGUUCUAUGUUAAGGCAUUGAAUGUUUGCCUUAUAUGUGUAAUGUGAUCCGCCCUGAGUCCCCGUCGGGGUGAGAAGGGCAGAAUAUAAAUGCUGUAAAUAAAAUAAAUAAAUAAAAACAGGGGCUGCUUAGGGUGUAAGUCUUUGGAGACCAUAUUGGCCUCUUUGUAAUGCCUUUUCAUGAUUCUGCUAUUUUAGAUGACAAUGUCGGCAUAAUCAACGCUCUGUAAAGUUGGUGCAGACAUCCUCAUAACCUCUGAGGAAGCUUGCCAUAGAUGUGGGCGAAACGUCAGGAGAGAAUGCUUCUGGAACAUAGCCAUACAGCCCAGAAAACUCACAGCAACCCAGUGAUUCCAGCCAUGAAAACCUUCAACAACACAUUGAACAUCUCUAUGGGGAGAAACUGUUAAAUCCCACUUGCCCAGUUUCUAACAGACCUCACAACCUCUGAGGAUGCCUGCCAUAGAUGUGGGUGAAACAUCAGGAGAGAAUGCUUCUGGAGCUUGGAUGUACAGUCUGAAAAACUCACAGCAACCCAGUGAUUCCAGCCAUGAAAGCUUUCAACAACACAUUGAACAUAUCUACUGUUAAACCCCACUUGCUGUGUUUCCAACAGGCUUCACAACCUCCGAGGAUGCCUGCCAUAGAUGUGGGUGAAACGUCAGGAGAGAAUGCUUCUGGAGCUUGGAGGUACAGUCCGAAAAACUCACAGCCACCCAGUGAUUCCAGCCAUGAAAGCCUUCAACAACACAUUGAACAUUUCUACUGUUAAACCCCACUUGCUGAGUUUCCAGCAGGCUUCACAACCUCCGAGGAUGCCUGCCAUAGAUGUGGGUGAAACGUCAGGAGAGAAUGCUUCUGGAGCUUGGCUGUAUAGUCCGAAAAACUCACAGCCACCCAGUGAUUCCAGCCAUGAAAGCCUUCAACAACACAGAAUAUUUCUACCAUUAAACCCCCACUUGCUGAGUUUCCAGCAGGCUUCACAACCUCCGAGGAUGCCUGUCAUAGAUGUGGGUGAAACGUCAGGAGAGAAUGCUUCUGGAGCUUGGAUGUACAGUCCGAAAAACUCACAGCCACCCAGUGAUUCCAGCCAUGAAAGCCUUCAACAACACAUUAAACAUAUCUACUGUUAAACCCCACUUGCUGAGUUUCCAGCAGGCUUCGGAUGCCUGCCAUAGAUGUGGGUGAAACGUCAGGAGAGAAUGCUUCUGGAGCUUGGAGGUACAGUCCAAAAAACUCACAGCCACCCAGUGAUUCCAGCCAUGAAAGCCUUCAACAACACAGAAUAUUUCUACCAUUAAACCCCCACUUGCUGAGUUUCCAGCAGGCUUCACAACCUCCGAGGAUGCCUGUCAUAGAUGUGGGUGAAACGUCAGGAGAGAAUGCUUCUGGAACUUGGUCAUGCAGUUUGAAAAACUCACAGCCACUCAGUGAUUCCAGCCAUGAAAGCUUUCAACAACACAUUGAACAUUUCUAUUGUUAAACCCCACUUGCUGAGUUUCCAGCAGACUUCACAACCUCUGAGGAUGCCUGUCAUAGAUGUGGGUGAAACGUCAGGAGAGAAUGCUUCUGGAGGUUGGAUGUACAGUCUGAAAAACUCACAGCAACCCAGUGAUUCCAGCCAUGAAAGCUUUCAACAACACAUUGAACACUUCUAUUGUUAAACCCCACUUGCUGAGUUUCCAGCAGGCUUCACAACCUCCGAGGAUGCCUGCCAUAGAUGUGGGUGAAACGUCAGGAGAGAAUGCUUCUGGAGCUUGGCUGUACAGUCCGAAAAACUCACAGCCACCCAGUGAUUCCAGCCAUGAAAGCUUUCAACAACACAUUGAACACUUCUAUUGUUAAACCCCACUUGCUGAGUUUCCAGCAGGCUUCACAACCUCCGAGGAUGCCUGCCAUAGAUGUGGGUGAAACGUCAGGAGAGAAUGCUUCUGGAGCUUGGCUGUACAGUCCGAAAAACUCACAGCCACCCAGUGAUUCCAGCCAUGAAAGCCUUCAACAACACAUUGAACAUUUCUACUGUUAAACCCCACUUGCUGAGUUUCCAGCAGGCUUCACAAACUCCGAGGAUGUCUGCCAUAGAUGUGGGUGAAACCUCAGGAGAGAAUGCUUCUGGAGGUUGGAUGUACAGUCCCAAAAACUCAUAGCAGCCCAGCGAUUCCAGCCAUAGAUGUGGGUGAAAUGUGAGGACAGAAUGCUUUUGGAAAAUGGCCAUACAGCCGAGAAAACUCACAGCAACCUAAAGCUCUUCUCAGAAAACGCUGGCCAGUGCCACAUAUCUCUAUCAGCACAAGUUUGAACAACAGCAACCUGUAUUAAUGUCUGUAGGAGAAAUACAAGGGACGCCUCCCCAACACCUGUCCAACCAGGUGAAUCUGGGCAGCCUGUGGGAUGUUUUGAUGUCUCCAUAACACUCAGAGAUAAACAUGAAUAGAACUUGGGAGGCUUGCAAUUCCCACUGCCAUGUGCAGUCUUCAGAAAGAACAUAGGGAAGAGGAGGAGACUCGAUUGCCACCGGUGAUGCAAUACCAGUGUGUCCUUUUCAGUUCUGCCCAUAUGGAAGACCAUCUGCCGGCAGAAAACAGACUCCGUCUAAGUGGGUUUGUGGAGCAGUAAUCUGCGAAGAUGAAUGCUUGGAGUUUGGAGAUGCAAAAAUAAGGAGUGUCAAAUAAUGUGAAGUUGCUGGUAACAACUAUGCCAGGAUCAGUCAUGCCUCGAUGCAAAAUGUGAGCAUAUCCAGACUUUCUUGGAAUGCAGAUAUAUCAGACAUGGCAUCACUUUCUGCUAGGAUGGUUUGGGAACAUCAAUAUAACCUUAGACCGAGAGUAAAUUAGUAUUUACUAUAAAUCUGGGCUAAUCACACUUUUUGUUAGGAGAUCAGCAAUUUCAUGUGUCAAUUCGUUCAGAAUUCCUGAAUGGUUAACAUCUGAUGAACCUUUAUUUAUUUCAAUAAAUGCAUUUCAAUUUGUCUUGCUGCUACUUUAUGACUCAGGUCCUUAGAUCCCCUUUUCAAGAAAAUCAGUUCAAGCAUCACACUACAUCUUUGGCAAAGGCAAAUACUGUAAUUAAUUCACUUUUCUUCUUCUUCUUUGCCUUGAAUGCCCACUUCCUUCCCAUCCUCCCGUGGCUCAACUGCCUCCUUAGCUUCGUUCUGAUGUAUUUAAUCAAUUUAUGGAUAGUUUUAAUGUUGCGCGAUGUGCUUCAAAAACCUUUUGGGUGUUUUCCUUGCUGUUUCCUUCGAUUCCUUUGUUCGCUUUUACCUUCUAAUUUGGACAAGGCUUCCUCACUCCCCGCAAUAGCUUUCUGAUCUCCAAAUUGAGAAAGAAAGCAGAGGGAUGUCCAUAGGAUAAAAGAAAUAUAUCAAUAGAUUACUUUAAGAAACUGCACGAAGUGGAUAAAUGUAUGGUCUGAAAAUGACAAAGAAUGUAAAUAUUUAGGUACCCUCAGUAGUAAUGUAGAAGGGAGGAAAUUAUGUAAAAUUCAGAAUAUUAUUAUGGUAUGAGGGUUGAAUGAAAAGUAAUGCCUCCACCUUCGUAAGUCCUCAACAGAUGGCAGUCCUGGUCUGUGGCAGGUCCUGGCUUGUUCAGUAGACUCUCCUCUACAGUUCCAUUUGGUGGGAAGCCUUAGCAUUGAAUGGUAGUGUUGUUAAAGUGUGAAGUAUGGAACCCUGCACAGACAUUUGGUCAAUGCGACUUAAGCAACAUGCAGUCACUGAAUUCUUGACAGCAGAAGGUGUCACCCCAAAGGAGAUUCAUCAGAGAAUGCAAGCUGUUUAUGGUGAUUGUGUUAAAGAUGUUGAGGUGGGAACAUCUGACUUGCAUGACAAACAAAGAGUUAGACGUCCUGUGACAGCAACCACCGAGUUUCACAAGCAAAAGGUUGACAGAUUGAUUCAGGACGAUCAUCGUAUUACUCAGAGAGAAAUUUCAAGCAUAAUCGGCAUUUCACAAGAAUGUGUGGGUCACAUGAUUGCUUUGCUUGGCUAUUGGAAGAUCUGUGUACGAUGGGGACUGUGAGACGCCGGUUGCGGAAACUGAGUGUUGACUUCUUCCGUGACAGCUUCAGAAAACUUCCCAUUCAAUUGUCUGGUGAUUAUGUGGAAAAGUGAAUAGUGGUAGUUAAAGAGCACAUUCUAAGGAUUAUUUCUGCAUUUGAUUUAUUAAAUUAUUCCCACCCAAACGCAAGUAACGAAGGUGGAGGCAUUACUUUUCAUUCAACCCUCGUAGAUGUUUCUGAACCAAUUGGGCAGCUCACAAGGCUUGCAUUAGUGGCUUAUAGUUAGCAGACCACACAUGGAUGUGUUUGGAAAGAAACGAUGGGUGCAUCGAUAUUGUAGAAUUAAUGCAGUUUGAUACCACGUUAACUGUCAUGGCUUAAGGCUAAGGAAUCAUGGGAGGUGUAGUUUUCUUUUCCAAAGUGUGCUGGUGCUUCACGAAACUAUAACUCCUAUGAUUUCAUAGCAUUGAAGUGGUGUCGAGCUACGUUAAUUCUACAAUGUAGGUGCGCACUCUGUGUAGGAUCAGGCUGCAUGAAUUGUCAUUCCCUUUUCUCAUAUCUAUUCAACUUGAGGCAGUUGUAGCAACCUAUAGUUUUCAGUUUUUUAUUUCCAUGUCAGGAGUGACUUGAGAAACUGCAAGUCAUUUUUGGUGUGAUAGAAUUGGCCAUCUACAAGGACUUUGCCCAGGGGAUGCUCAGAUGUUUUGAUGUUUUUACCAUCCUCUCUCAUGUCCCCGCAUGGAGCUGGAGCUGAUAGAGGGAGCUCAUCCGCGCUCUCCCCAGGUUGGAUUCGAACCGGCAACCUUCAGGUCAGCAACCCUACCUUCAAGUUAGCAGUCCUGCCAGCACAAGGGUUUAACCGACUGCACCACUGGGGGCUCCUUUUCGUGUUGAUUCCUGCUUUAUCAUACACAGAAAACUAUACAAUUUAACUGCAAGCUGCAUUCACAAGUGAGUCAGAAUUUGUUUUGCUGUUGUUGUUGUUGUUGGUGGUGGUGGUAGUGGUGUUGUUGUUGAAAGAUGUGCAUUGCAAUAACAUUUUCUGAUUUGUAAUACAACACAGCUCGUGUUGUCAGUCACUGGAGUCCUAGAGUUAUAUUUAUUUUUGCACAGGGAACAAAGAACCGCCUUGAGUCUCCCUUAAAGGGGAAAUAGAUUGAAUGAAAGUGUAAACAAAGUCUGUGCCAUGGAUGAUGAAGAAAUAACGGGGAGGGAGUUUUUGACUGUCACUACUGGAAUAGUUAAUGUAGUAUUUGGCUGUGGUGGCAGUUAGAAGAACCCACCUCUCACCUUCCUGCUCCUAAGAAAUCCGCACAUUUCCUCUGCCAUAAGUGAGUACAGGAUGGCGAAUCAAAGGAGCGCUUCUUACAACCUUCCGGGCCCUCUAGCAUUUGGUUUGCAGUGCAGAACUGCUUUGGGCACCGGAUCAAAAAUUCAUCUCGUACAUGCUACAGAUGUGAUCACCAAAAGUAUAGAAUCCUAGAGUUGGAAGAGAACACAAGGGCUAUCCCAUCCAACAUCCGACCGUGCAGGAAAACACAAUCAAAGCAGCUCCAACAGAUGGCUAUCUAGUUUCUGCUUAAAAAUAAACCCAGAGAAGGAGACUCCACCACACUCCACUGCCAAAUAGCUCUUACCAUCAGGAUGUUCUGCCUAAUGUUUAGGUGGAAUCUUUUUUUCCUGCAGUUUGAAUCCAUUCCUCCAUGCCCUAAUCUCUAGCCCUGCAGAAAAACAGCUUGCCCUCUCCUCAAUGUAAUAUCCUUUCAAUUAUUUAACAAUGGCUGUCUUGUCCCCACUUCCUUUCUCCAAACUAACCAUACCCAGAGCCCAAACCAUUCCUCAUAGGAAUCCGUGGCUGCUGGAUAUUUGAUCAUUUUGGUUGCCCUUCUCUAGCUUGGAGCCUCCAGUGGUGUAGUGGGUUAAACUGCUGAGCUGUUGAACUUGCUGACCAAAAGGUUGGUGGUUUGAAUCCAGAGAGUGGGGUGAGCACCCGCUGUUAGCCUCAGAUUCUGCCAACCUAGAGGUUCGAAAACAUGCAAAUGUGAGUAGAUCAAUAGGUACUGCUCUGGAGGGAAGGUAAUGGCACUCCAUACAGUCAUGCUGGCCACAUGACCUUGGAGGUGUCUAUGGACAAUACUGACUCUUCGACUUAAAAAUAGAGAUGAGCACCAACAUCCAGAGUUGGACACGACUAGACUUAACAUCAGGGGAAACCUUUACCUUUCUGUUUAUUAUUAUGCCAGGAUUUUUGCUAUAUUUUAUUAUAUUUUUCUGUUCAUCUAUCAGAGAAAGGCAGGAUCUAAACUAAAAAGAAAACAAAGAUGUGUGAAACCUGACACGCAUCAACAGGCCAGCAGCAUAUGCAUCCUGGCAAUAAUAAUAAUAACAACAACAACAACAACAACAACAACAACAACAACAACAACAACUUUAUUCUUAUACCCCUCCUCAUCUCCCCAAAGGGACUCGGGGCGGCUUACAUGCGGCCUUGCUCAGACACAACAAUAUAAAAGCAAGCACAACAAUAAAGCAAAUUACUCAACAAUAAAACAUCAACAUCGAUAAAAACAGUCAUAAAAUGUCAAUAUACAAAAUAAAGUGUUAAAACAAGAGAUGAAUUCACGGAUCUGGGCCAAAGUGCAAAAUAUGUCAAAGUCAUCAGGGAGAGGUAGUUACGCAGCUGAAAUAAGUCUCUCUCCUAUUAUUUGACAAGGAGGAGAAAAGCAGCCUCUCAGAUUUCAUAUUCAAAGGAGAAGCCCGUCAUAUUGGGGAUAAUGGGCAAUCCUGAACAUUUUAGUACUCGGGAAAUGAGAUGUGCUGCAGCUGUAAAACCAGGUCAGUUUAGUGCAUUUAAAUGUGGAAAUGUCCUGAAAAUGUGGUACUGAUGGAUUGUAAAGAACUGUGCGUCUGAAUUAGAAACUUCCUUUAGUUUCCAAGAAUAUGGAAAACUGUUCCAACUUCAGUGAAACCGACAUGUUUCAAACAUAUAAGUUGUUCAUGCAUUAUAUCUGUAUACAUAAACAUGCACAGCUGUUUGUGAAAAUAUAUAUAUAUGAUCACUUUCAUAAAUUGUUGGGUAUCAUUCCUGGACUGCACAAGUUUUUGUGUCAUCAAGUUUCUAGACCUCAAUAAGGAGUUAGACUAGAAACAGGGCUAAGCUGAAGGAUUCCUUUCCCCACAUUCCUAUGCAUGCUUUCAUAAAGAGCUUUGCCUGUGUUAUUUACUGCUUGCCACUGUCUCCUUCCCCUUUGAUGCUUUGCUAUAUUUUGGUGAAAUUUUCUUAAGAUUCCCCAACAAAGGGUUAUGGGCCUAGCACAUAAAUACAUAUUAUUUUGUCUUUUACAACAUGAGAAUUCCUUUCUGAUAAAUAGAUAAUUCAGUUCUGCCAAGAAAUUCUUAAAAGUCUUCCUCCUAGAUAUUUUCAGUAUUUCUCCCCAAAAUCCAAAAUAUUGGUUGAGAUCCUGCAUUGGGAUAUGUAUGUGUUUCACACAGCUAUGCCUCUAUAUGUUUCCCAAUAUGACAAGCAUCUAUGGUGAGCCCAUGAGGUUUGGUUACAGGUGCAUGCCUUAGUUACCUCUAGACUGGACUACUGUAAUGCGCUCUAUGUGGGGCUUUCCUUGAAGACGGCUCGGAAAUUACAACUGGUCCAACGCUCGGCUGCCAGAUUAAUAACUGGGGCGAAUUACAGGGAGAGAUCUACUCCCCUGUUUAAGGAGCUCCACUGGCUUCCGUUCAUUUUCCGAUCCGAAUUCAAGGUGCAGACCAUCAUAUAUAAAGCCCUAAACGGUUUGGGACCCACCUACCUUCGUGACCGUAUCUCCUACCAUAAACCUGCCCGAUCUCUGCGAUCGUCAGGGGAGGCUCUCCUGUCGCCACUGCCUUUAUCCCAGACCCGCCUUGUAGGAACUAGGGAGAGGGCCUUUUCUGCUGUGGCCCCCCGUUUGUGGAACUCAUUGCCCAUUGAAAUCAGGCAAGCCUCCACUCUUUCAGACUUUAGGAAAGAUCUAAAAACAUGGCUCUUCCGAUGUGCUUUCGGAGAGUAACUGUUACAUGCUUUUUGUUACGCCCCCCAUUAUUUAUCCUCUAGACUGUCUGCUAUCUUUUCCUUAGUUCCCUGUGGUUUUAUUCUUAUCCUUUAUUCUUAUCCUUUUCUCACCCCGAGUUUUAACUGAGUAUUCGUGCGGCCUGCCCUGUUAUAUUGCUCUUUGGAUUUUGUGUUGUACUGUAUAUGAUUCUUUAUUGUAUUGUUGUAAUUGUAUUAUGAUAUGUUGUUUUUAUAUUGUGUUAUAUUGUAUUUUUCCCGGGCAUGGCCCCAUGUAAGCCGCCCCGAGUCCCCAUUGGGGAGAUGGUGGCGGGGUAUAAAUAAAGUUUUAUUUAUUAUUAUUA